CCUACGGGUGGCAGCAGUAGGGAAUCUUGGGCAAUGGAGGCAACUCUGACCCAGCAACGCCGCGUGAGUGAUGAAGGUCUUCGGAUUGUAAAGUUCUUUUCUAAGGGAAGAAGAAAGUGACGGUACCUUAUGCAUGAGCCUCCGCUAACUACGUGCCAGCAGCCGCGGUAAUACGUAGCAGGCAAGCGUUAACCGGAAUGACUGGGCGUAAAGGGUGCGUAGGUGGUUUGACAAGUUAGUAGCGAAACUCCGGAGCUCAACUUCGGAACUACUACUAAAACUGUUGGACUUGAGUGCAGGAGGGGAAAGCGGAAUUCCUAGUGUAGCGGUGGAAUGCGCAGAUAUUAGGAGGAACACCAGUGGCGAAGGCGGAUUGCUAGACUGUAACUGACACUGAGGCACGAAAGCGUGGGGAGCAAACAGGAUUAGAUACCCGAGUAGUC
rnacentral:rRNA from 1 species